GAUGAACGCUGGCGGCGUGCCUAAUACAUGCAAGUCGAGCGAACGGACGAGAAGCUUGCUUCUCUGAUGUUAGCGGCGGACGGGUGAGUAACACGUGGAUAACCUACCUAUAAGACUGGGAUAACUUCGGGAAACCGUAGCUAAUACCGGAUAAUAUUUUGAACCGCAUGGUUCAAAAGUGAAAGACGGUCUUGCUGUCACUUAUAGAUGGAUCCGCGCUGCAUUAGCUAGUUGGUAAGGUAACGGCUUACCAAGGCAACGAUGCAUAGCCGACCUGAGAGGGUGAUCGGCCACACUGGAACUGAGACACGGUUCAGACUCCUACGGGAGGCAGCAGUAGGGAAUCUUCCGCAAUGGGCGAAAGCCUGACGGGGCAACGCCGCGUGAGUGAUGAAGGUCUUCGGAUCGUAAAACUCUGUUAUUAGGGAAGAACAUAUGUGUAAGUAACUGUGCACAUCUUGACGGUACCUAAUCAGAAAGCCACGGCUAACUACGUG
rnacentral:rRNA from 1 species